GAUAGAGACUCAGAGCUGCAUAUCAAUAAGCGGAGGAAAAGAAACUAACUAGGAUUCCCUUAGUAACGGCGAGUGAAGCGGGAAGAGCUCAAAUUUGAAAUCUUCAAGGUUCUACCUUGACGAAUUGUAGUUUAAAGAAGUGUUUUCUGUUGGAGUUUUGGUAAAAGUUCUUUGGAAUAGGACAUCAUAGAGGGUGAGAAUCCCGUAUUUGACCAUUUCUUCCAGCUGUGUGAUACACUUUCAAAGAGUCGGAUUGUUUGGGAAUGCAGUCCAAAAUGGGUGGUAAAUUUCAUCUAAAGCUAAAUAUUGGCGAGAGACCGAUAGCGAACAAGUACCGUGAGGGAAAGAUGAAAAGAACUUUGAAAAGAGAGUUAAACAGUACGUGAAAUUGUCAAAAGGGAAGCGUUUGACACCAGUGUUGUUUUCUCGAAAAUCAAUUAAAAAUGAUUGGAUUUUGUGUCGUAUUGACUUUAUCAGCUUUCUGCACUCUUUUUCUUAUCUUUUUUAAUGCACUUUUCGUUUAACAAGUCAACAUCAAUUUCUUUUGUUGUAAAAGAGUCAUUGGAAGGUGGCUUUCUUUUCGGAGAAAGUGUUUAUAGCCUUUGACUUCCUGCAAUCGGAGAGACUGAGGUCUGCAGCGUAGAUCCUUUUGGGAUUAGAUGCAUUUGUGCUAAGUUAUAGCCUUUUAUAGACAACAUGUUGACUAUGAUUAGUCAUUGUAGCUUACUCGCUUAUGUAUUUUACCUACGCUUAGGAUGUUGAUAGUCACAGCGUGUAC
rnacentral:rRNA from 1 species